UGAAAGUAGCCAGGUCAGGUGGUGAGAGCUGCUGUUCAAACAGUGAGUGCUCCGUGUGGAGGACAGGAGAGUCAGGCUCAGGGGCCACAGAGAUAUCCUGCUGAUGCAGGAAUUGUUGCUGCACCCUAGGCUGGUAUGCUGCAGAGCAUGAAGAGUGAGCAGCAGCCCAGUGAUUUUAGUUUCACUUUUGCAGGAGCUGUGAGACGUUUGUGAGUGCCCCGCAGGGGGUCUGAAUCUGCUCGGGAGUGGCAGGCAGGGUCGGUGCGGGGAUGGAAAGCGUUGCCAGCACUGGGCCCAUUGUCGGUGCCGGAGAGACCAGUGCCGAGGAGAGCUUCCUGCUGUGUAACCAGGGAAGAGAUGAGCACUGCCCCAAGUCCCGUCUUCACCUGAGGACAGUUGAGAAGAAACUGAGAAGAGUGCAGGACACGCGCGCUCAGGCAGACCCUAACGAUGCCGCAAGACAGCAGCUGAGCACGUGCGUCCCGACCAGGCACUGCUACUGAAGAUCUAUCAACGGCGCCAGGACGCACCGUCACCUGGAGUGGAGCACGCACAGGGACAGCACUCGAAGAAGUUGUUUCUUUCUAUACCCUGACAAGUUAAUGGUUGGCUUAUUCCUGAAACAGGAGAGAGGUUAUAUCAUAUAUUAUGUUUGUCCUAUCUAAUAUAAGUACAGAUGUUGUCAUCCAUAUACAUGUCUGAUGGCUUUUUAUUCCUAGUAAGCUCUUGGCUUCAACUAUAUCCUGUGGCAAUGAGCUGUACAGGCUAAUUCUGCUUGUGUAAAAAGACUAAAUUUAAAAGGAAACAUAAGUAUGAGUAAAAUGCUGAAUGUAUUAGCUAGCUUAUGCACCAUGCACACUUGCUAAGUGCAAAUGCAUCAAACUGCUAAGUUGUGACAUGACUGUAGUUUCUCAUAAAAGUUUUACUUUGAUUUCCCCCCUCCCCCCCAUCAGCCAUAUUCUCUCUCUAGAGAAGAACACACUUAGCUCCGCGUGACUGCUUUAUAAGGGAUCGAGGGACGUUUUGGUAGUCCAUAACUCCAGAAUAUAUAAUGUAGUCUUUUUUCCCAUUGUUUCUUCAACCAAGAUGACUCUCAAUCUGUAAGAUGAAAGGAUCACUAUGUGGAAGAUUUCUCUGUCCCUGGAAUCCUGAAAUGGGAUCAAUUACUGCCAGAUGUUUCUCAUUUUCAAGGACAAACGUAAUGAGCUGUCAGAUCUUUCUGUUGUGAAAUUAGACUCAUGAGACAAAUUUCUGGCAGGUCACCACAGUGCCAAUCAUGACCACAAGGGAUCACAGAGCAGCAACUGAACUGUAACAAUCCAUUGAGGCUCUUGUGAGUUAAAAAUCUGAGAAUCGCUGGAUGAUGAAAGUUCACUUGAAUUGCUAUGAUAGCUAAGUUAGCAUUUUAACUUCUAGCACUUCUAUUUCAAAGAACACACAUCUCAUGGAAAAACUGAAGGUAAAAUAAUUUUUAAUUAAAAUCAAAACCAACAGCUUACCUUCAAUUUCAUAUGUAAGCAUCAACAACUUGCUUCGUAGUUGCUAAAACAAAUCAAAAUAUAUCUUAGACCAUUAAAGUCACAGGGUUUAUACAAAGGGCACUUUGCUGCCUGAGCACGACUACUGCAGUGCACAGACCCUCCCUCAUAUGUGGGGAACAACCUGCAAGUUAAACUUUGACUAAGAUAAUCAAAAUCAAGUCUCAAUCUGCUACAAAGACAACAUUCAAAAUGUAAAGCAAAUGUAAACCAACGCAGAGAUGUCUGCUGAGUCUGCAGACAGCCUGGAACAUAGCUCUGACAAAAGCUAACUGCUGUUGUAAUAACUAGACCUACCGAUUUACCAUAAUUGUGAAUUCAACUGUCAGAAGUGAGUGAGUGAAAGCUCAUAAAACGUCACAAGCUGUAACAAUAAAUGUUGAUGGGUAAAGGGGCAAAAGUGAGACAAAAAGACUAGGGUAGUUCGAACAAAAAGGCCUUCUGCAUAAUUCAGGAACUGUUUUCAGAUCAUGGCUGGUAAACAUGAGACGUGUGGGGCCUGAAAUCAAUGAACCCAAACUGGUGUGUCAGAAUUCGGCCUAACUGGUGAACAAAAUAAUACGGGGAUGGGCUAUUCCAGCUAUCAAUCCCUUUUGGGGUCCUAAAAAGAGACCACUGGCUAACUGAAAGUUGAGAGCAGGGGAAGGAGUGAGCUCUCUUAUCAUAGGUGCCACCCCCCUGUCUCUUGGGACCGUGGACCUUCUUCAUCCUAAUUCUGAAAGAUGUCCCGACCAGACUGUGCCACAGAGAGGGACUCAGAUGACAUCACCACCUCCACCUCUACCUGAUCCUGCUAAAUCCCAAGCACCACCUGGAAAUGUGAGACUCUGCCUUCCCUCCAUCCCCCAAUCUGUAAUUUUCCUUCCCUACACUAUUUAUUUCUAAUCUUACAUCUCUCUUCUUUUUCCUUGUCUAGUAAGAGUCUGGCUUAGCCAGCCAAUGCUGUAUAUUUUGCAUCCUGUGACCAGAAAAAGGCAGCUAAGUGAAAUGCCCUAAACAGUCUAAGUUUGCCAGGUCUCAGAGUGGUUGAUCAAAUCACGUGCUGCGCCUGUAUUUCUUCAGCAAUGAGGCUGCAAGUGAGAGUUGACACCAGAGACAGACGCUGCAUUUGCUAACUUUGCUGUUUUUUUUUCCUCCCCUUUGGUGUGUUUUGUCUUGUUGUGUCUUCUAGGAAACAGGACUGGACAUUAACAAACAACAACAAAACAGCUCCAGCCAUCAACUAAGUUUUUCUCUUUUCCCCAAAAAGGACAGUUAUUACCAAAUAAGAGACUACCAAACAAGGAGUUUUUUCCUCCAAGAGAUUCUCUAAAGGGAAAGGGAAGUUGUUAAAAUGAAAGCCUCACUUAACUCUUUACAUUUAAGAUGCUUAAACUGUUUCUCUCUCUUCUGUAUCUUUAAUAAAAGGUUAAAAAGGA